GGGCCUGGGCACCAACUUCCAGGGGGUGCCAAACCCCAUGUGCUCCUCUGUUGCGGGUGGGGGGCGCUUGGCUGCUGGGUGGGUGCUGAAAAUGCUUUCCGCCCUGGUUGGCAAAAUGGGUAGGGCUGCUGCUGGUGAUGUGCGGUGGGAGAUGGAGGGGAUAGAAUGACAGCUCCCCCAGCCUGGACGUAGUGGUGGGGAACGGAAGCCUUAUAGCAGAGAGAGGGUCCGGGGACAGGCUGUGGAGUGAGGAGGUGGGGAAGAACUGCUGCUGGAUCCAAGGAGCCUGACGCUUUUCUCCCUCUUGCUGUCUUGGGACUUCUCUGCUUGGAGAAGAGAAGAAGCCCUGGGGCGAGUCAGGGAGGCCGUGCUGCCAAGUCCAGGUUGGCAAUACUGCAUCCCACUGCCUGGCACUCAGCCCUGGGGAAGUUCACUGAAUGCCUGGAGAGACUUGUCAUGGCUGCUUUAAGAUGCAGUGUCAUUCAGUGCCACCAUGGUGAACUCCACCGUGGCACCUCGCAUCACCUCUUGCUGAGCCCCAGGAAGCACACAUCCAUCAAACCAUCCAAAACUUGGAAACUAUGGCUGGGGAAACAGUGGACAACAUAGCAGUGGCACUUCAAAAAGAGUGUGUGUAACCAUCCCAACACUUGCUUCGUAAGAAGACAUUUGUAAAAAGACAUUGGCUUGGAUGUUCUGCUGUUUGCAUCCCUUUCUCUGAUGCUUCAAAUUCUGCAUAAAGAGUUGGUCAUAACCAUUGUUUGUUUAACCUCCACUACCUGAUAUCCAGCAUAGUCAUUUACACCUGUGCAAAGUGGGUAGGAACGAAUUCUGAUUUGAUAGCAUCUCAGAAUUGUUUUGCACAGAUGUAAAAGGCUACACAUCAUAAUGCAAUGCAGUCUCUGCAAAAUAGUGAAGAAUUAGGCUCCCAGUUUUAAGCAGAGAUUUUAAAACCUAUUCAAACCCACAACAGCUGUACUCUGUUUAUACAGUGAUAUUUUCAAAUUCUAGUAACUGAUCCUUUUCUUUAAAAAAGGAAAAUCUAUAUCAUGAGGCUAGUAAGUAAAAAAAUUAAGGCAGAGAAAUAUAGUUUAUACUGUUUAUUGUGGACAGAUUGAUUUAAUCUCUAGUUGCAGCUCAUCUAGCAUGUUCCCAAAUGUUAUAAAAAUGGAGAAAAAUAAAAAUGCUAGUGAUUUUGUUAUAGUAUCAGCUAUCAGAGUUAGCAUCAGAGAAAGUGGCAGCUAACCAGACACAUGGGUGAAACACUUUUUAAUUGCAGAAAUGAGUGAUCCUAUUCUAAAGGAAAGGAGUGUGCCUUACUCACGUUGAACACUUCCAGGAUACUAGCAAGCUGAACAGUUUAUGGGAUUGGGUGUAGAACUUCAGGGCAUAUUACUAACUUUAUUUUCCCCUCCACCCCCACCACGAUUAAAAUUGAGAAUACUUCACUGGGUCAUGAUGAGAAUUAAAUGUUCGUGCUAAUGCUCAAUAACAGUGAACACAUUAUUGCUCAUUAUUAGAGAACUGACCAAUAAAAGAGAGUGAUGAUGUAGGGAGUUGUCACAUUCAGUUCUGUGUACAAUCCUGCUCUCAGUAAAGCCACUGGGUGUUCUUCCAUUGUCCUCAGUAAAGUAGGAUCUAGCCCUCACUGUUUAAUCUGCAGAAGUCAGAUGACCAGUAGCCUCUAACUUGAUACAAAAAAAGAAUUCCAAUGCACUGUGAUAAUUAAGGCUAACUUUCCCAUCCCCAACCUGUGUCUCACUCCUUAGUUUAGAGACCAAAAUAACAUGGUUUGAUGUUUUCAAAAUCUCCCAAUGUAUGGGGCUAAUCGUGUUGUUUGGGGGGGCUCCAACUCAUGAUUUUUGAUCUCUUGAGGUUGGCAAUACUGCACCCCACUGCCUGGCACUCAGCCCUGGGGAACUUCACUGAAUGCCUGGAGAGACUUGCCAUGGCUGCUUUAGGAUGCAGUGUCAAUCAGUGCCACCAUGGUGAACUCCACCGCGGCACCUCGCACCUUAGUUUUAACAUAAGUUAAAAGUACUACAGAAACUGGAACCAGUGUCUGGAAUAUGGAGUGUCUUUUUAUCAUUCAGCAGUAACCCAAAUGGAAAACUGAAUAAGUAAUGCAGUAAAACUGAGUUUUAUAAGGAACAUUCAUACAUCUAUAAAGCUAAAUUCUGUCCUCUGAUAAGUAUUUGCUGCUUUUGGUGCUAAAUGAUCUAUUUAUAAAUAAGUUUAUGAAUAAUUCAGUCUUGCUCUUUUUUGCAAGAUAUUAAAAAUUAGAAUCCACAGAUAUUUUGUGAAAUCUACCCAGGCAAAUAAAAAGCUGUUUACAAGCAAUCUUGGAUUAACUUGCUGAACUUCCGAGUCAAGGGCAGUGACAAUUUGUUGAAUAUCCUAAAGAGUAGAUUUCUAAGUUUGUGUUUCUGUUCUGCUGUAGAGUAUAUUUAUCAAAUAUGGUAUUCUCUGCACAGAUGCCAGAGAGAGGAAAAAUAUCUUGGACUAUUCCAACAGGUGGAAAUGCCCUCACUGCAUAUUAAGUAGUGUGGCCUUUGUGUGGCUUAAUGGAGAAAGUGAGUUGCCACAAGCGUGGUCAUUUCAGCAGGCUGAUAGGAAAAUGGUCAUUUGUUGCCACUUUAAGGCCCCCCUGAGGUUUACCUGCUCCACCAAAGAAGCAGUCCACUGCUCCAGAUGGGAGAGGACUUCCUCCGUUCCGCACAGGGGACUGAAGGGAUGCGGGUAUUUAUACACGGGGCUGUAGCAGGAAGGCCCUCUUUUAUCCACACCAGCAGUCUCGGAUGAUGACCCAGCACAUGUUGUUCGUUUAAAGAACACUUUCACUGCAGAUUAUACAAAACGCAAAGAAGGUACCAAUGUGAGAUUUCUAAAGAUAGCUACAGCACUCAGCCCAAGUUUUAAGAAUCAAAGUGCCUUCCAAAAUAUGAGAGGAAUGAGGGGUGGUAUUCCAUUCAGAAGUCUUAAAAGAGCAACUCUUCAAUGCAGAAGAAAGAAGCCUCGUGAAAUGCAAAUAAAGAACUUUAACAGAAAACUGUUAAUUUCAAAGCAAGUGGUCAUUGUGUUUGAUGAUUGGCGGUCAAAGACUCAAAAUGCAUUCUUCACUCUCCAUAAUCAAAGGAAAAGCCCACGUGGAUAGUGACACUGUCAGUUUGUUUUCUGUUAGAAGAAGCUAUAAGAAUUUAUUCAAGGAAAGAUCCUUCAUCUCUGGGCUGUUUGGAUUCUAAUAGUGCAGAACAACUGAACGAGAAGAUGGAGAUCCCCACAGUUACUCUGGGUAGCCCUCAGAGACUUUUGGGAGACUGACAGAUUACUGUAUCCUGUCUACUGACAGUGGCCAAUGCCAGGUGCCCCAGAGGGAGUGAACCUAACAGAUAAUGAUCAAGUGAUCUCUCUCCUGCCAUCCAUCUCCACCCUCUGACAAACAGAGGCUAGGGACACCAUUCCUUACCCGCUAAUAGCCCUUAACCUCCUUGAAUUUAUCUAGUUCUCUUUUAAACCCUGUUAUAGUCCUAGCCUUCACAACCUCCUCAAGCAAGGAGUUCCACAGGUUGACUGUACACUGUGUGAAGAACUUCCUUUUAUUUGUUUUAAACCUGCUGCCCAUUAAUUUCAUUUGGUGGCCCCUAGUUCUUAUAUUAUGGGAACAAGUAAAUAACUUUUCCUUAUUCACUUUUUCCAAACGGCUCAUGAUUUUAUAUACACCUCUACCCCGAUAUAACGCUGCCCUCGGGAUCCAAAAAAUCUUACUGCGUUAUAGGUGAAACUGCGUUAUAUUGGGGUAGAGGUGUACCUCUAUCAUAUCCCCCUAGUCUCCUCUUUUCCAAGCUGAAAAGUCCUAGCCUCUUUAAUCUGUCCUCAUAUGGGACCUAUUCCAAAUCUCUAAUCAUUGUAGUUGCCCUUCUCUGAAUCUUUUCUAGUGCCAAUAUCUUUUUUGAGAUGAGGAGACCACAUCUGUAUGCAGUAUUCAAGAUGUGGGUGUACUAUGGAUUUAUAUAAGGGCAAUAAGAUAUUCUCCUUCUUAUUCUCUAUCCCUUUUUUAAUGAUUCCUAACAUCUUGUUUGCUUUUUUGACUGCCUCUGCACACUGCGUGAACAUCUUCAGAGAACUAUCCACGAUGACUUCAAGAUCUCUUUCCUGAUUAGUCGUAGCUAAAUUAGCCCCCAUCAUAUUAUAUGUAUAGUUGGGGUUAUUUUUUCCAAUGUGCAUUACUUUACAUUUACAUUUCAUUUGCCAUUUUGUUGCCCAAUCACUUAGUUUUGUGAGACCUUUUUAAAGUUCUUCACAGUCUGCUUUGGUCUUAACUAUCUUGAGCAGUUUAGUAUCAUCUGCAACCUUUGCCACCUCACUGUUUACCCCUUUUUCCAGAUCAUUUAGGAAUAAGUUGAAUAGGAUUGGUCCUAGGUCUGACCCUUGGGGAACACCACUAGUUACCCCUCUCCAUUCUGAAAAUUUACCAUUUAUUUCUACCCUUUGUUCCCAGGAACCAUUGAGAAUUAUAGACUAUGAUUCACCUGUAUAUAUAUUUUACCUGCUUUAACCUUUCAAUAACUCUCAUUUCCUUUUCUUAGCUAACAAACCGAUAGUUUACUAUAGAAUUGGCUGCUAGUGUUGUCUUUGAUGUAAGAUCUAGAGUACCAAUUGAUCUGGUGUAAGUGGCUAGUCUCUUGGGAGUAGGAGCAAUCUGAUGUGAUGUGAUUUUAGGUAUAAGAGAUCUUUUAUCACGAAGUCCAAUUUGUCUGGGUGGUAUGAUAGACUGGAGAGUCUGAGGGGACUGUUUGUGACUCCAUGGUAAGACAGGUAUAGUGAUCCAGGAGUUCACAUUUGUUACUGGUUUGGUGAAAUCUAAUUAUAGAAUAUACACACUAGGUUUAGGGCAUCUGCCCUGUUUUCCGACAGUCUGCCCUGAGGUAGGCACUCAGAGGUGGGAGCCACUCCAGAGAGCAUGACAUAUGACUCAGAUAAAAUGGACUGGUAAAGGAUUUAAAGGAGGCAUUCUUUAAAGAAGUAGAGAAAGGGCUUGGGGCUAUGACUGGUAUGAUGGGAAGGCAACCCCUCUCCUUUAUAGUUCCCCUUAACUCUCAUCUGAGCGGGGGAGGGUGGCAGAGUCCCAGCAGUGGGUUGUCUGGGACCGGGAUGUGGGGGAGGGCUGAUGAUAGCCCCCCAAGUAUAUGGAAAGGAUUAUGGCAUUACCUGCACUGUACAAUUUUAUCUGAAGGGAACACUCAGAUAUUUAAGAAUAAAGUUGUGGCCUAAUUAAAACCA